GUGCAACAUAAAUACAAGUGGGAUGCCACGCAACUCGGCGAACAGCCGAUCUAUGAAUGAAUGCAAUGCACCGGUAUCAAAUAAAGCUCGAACUCUUAUGCCAUUUAAUAAAAUAAUACCUACUACCACAUCCUCGGCUACUGUCGCCUCUUCGGUCUCGGCCGCAUACAAGCGCUCAGUCGGAGCCUGACGUGACCCUUCAGUCGACGCUAAAUAGGGUGUCACGCUCCGAGACCCAGCGGAAGCCCGCUCGGCACGUAUCCAGACCUGCCGUAUGUCUAAAACAUACCAAGCGUCUAGAACAAAACGAUAGAUACGACAAUAAAAGAGAACAUCUAGAAGCAUCAGAGCAAGGUAUAUCUAGAAGCUACAAUAAGGGAAAAGAACAUAAAAGUAAAUCCACUAAGUAAAAACAUAAAGUAGUACAACAGAUGUCCCAAAAUAAGUGCUAGAAAGGUACAUAGGUGGUCUCUCUAUACAUGGUGCAAAAUCUCUCUCUCUCUCUAAUACAAUAAAAGAAAGAGUAAACUACCUAAACUCAAAAGUAGCUCCUCUCUAUCUAGCUAGGCGACACCCUUGCCGCGAUCCCGUGCCUCCGCCGGUGCCGAAGGCUCUGAAAUAAAAC
rnacentral:lncRNA from 1 species